ensembl:lncRNA
UUUUUUUUUUUUUUUUUUUUUAGGGCCACAGCAACACCAGAUCCUUAACCCAUUGAGCAAGGCCAGGGAUAAAACCUGCAUCCUCAUGGAUACUAGUCAGAUUGAUUUCCACUGAGCCAUGACAGGAACUCCCUGAAAAUGCACAAAUCUUGAAUGAGUUGUGAACAAUCCCUGUUUUCAGGAUCCUUUUCCAAGUGACUGCCUUGGACUACCUGCAGGACCAUGUUGCUGGUGGCUCUGGGCUGGAGCCUGUGGGCUGGAAAGGGACCAUCCCUGAUGUCAUUCACCUGGGCAGGGGUCCCAGGCACUCUGUGUGUGGCUUCUGCUCUCCCCACCCUGGCUCUUGGAACAGGACAAGAAGUUCUGCACACUGCAGGCCAGGUGUCUGUUUAUGACUUGGAAUUAUCUGCUUUUAUUAUAAUAAAUAAGCCACUUCCUGGGCAACCUGCACAAGCUUUUACUUCUUGGGGCUUCAGUUCUUUUCACUCAUAAAAUGAACAAGUUGGUCAGACCCAGUGGCUGAGAGCCCUUGAGCAGACGAGACUCACUGGGAGGUUGAACCAGAACAGGAAAGCAGGUGGUGUUGCAGAUGUUUUGCAAGGCUUUGGCUUAAAGAAUGUCAGUCUGUAACCCAGCAGAACUCUAUGGGGCCUUUCCAGGACAGACCCUUUCCCAUAUCCUCUGCUGUAGCUCCUUUCUGAAGUACCCAGAUAAAAUCAUGCAUAUUUCCUGAAUUUUUCAGAUGCUAAAACCCACCAGCAAAUGGAAAAAAACUAACUACUUGAUGAUCAUGAAUACAGAGCCCAUGGACCUACUGGUACCUAAGGAUUGAUGAUGUUAACCCCUGCAACACUGCCCUGUUACCUCAAGAUCAAUCAAAGAAUUGUGCAUGAACUGAUGACAUACCCAAAGACCCUCCGCCCCUUGCCUUUAAAAUUUUUUUGCCAAACCCUUUAGGGGGGUUGGGGUUUUGGGGAACAUGAGCCACCCAUUCUCCUUGCAUGGUCCUGCAAUAAAUAUUUCUCUGCUCCAAACUCUGAUGUUUCAAUAUUGUUUGGCUUCACUGUGCAUCAGGCACAUGAACCUGCAUUUUGCAACAAGCCCUUAAGUUUUUUAGUCAUGGGGAACGUGCCUGUAUAUAUGGAGAAAACUCUACUUUGAAAAGAUUAUACGCACCCCAUUUUCAGAGCAGCACUGUUCACAAAAGCCAAGACAUGGAAGCAAACUAAGUGUCCAUCAAUAGAUGGAUGGAUAAAGAAGUUGUGGAUGAAGUAAUAUAAUGGAAUAUUACUCAGCCAUUGAAGAAUGAAAUAACUCCAUUUUCAGCAACAUGGCUGGGCCUGGAGAUUAUCAUAUUAAGUGAAGUAAGUCAGACAGAGAAAGACAAGUAGGUACUGUAUGAUACCACUUAAUAUAUGGAAUCUAAAAAAUGAUGCAAAUGAACUUAUUUACAAAACAAAAGCAGACUCAUAGACAUAGAAAACAAACUUUUGGUUACCAAAGAGGAAAUGAGGGGGGGGAUAAAUUAGGAGUUUGGGAUUAGCAGAUAUAAACUAUUAUAAAUAAAAUAGAUAAACCAGAAGGUUCUGCAGUAUAUCACAGGGAACUAUACCCAAUAUCUUGUAAUAAACUAUAAUGGAAAAGACUCUGAAAAGAGAUAGCUAUAUGUCAAUGAUGACAAAAAAAAAAAGACAUGCCUGGUGAAAUAAUCCUCUUCACCCUCCAUCUCACUGAGCGACAUUCAAAAUACACUAGCCUUUCAAUUAGGUUUUUUUUUUUUUUUUUUUGUCUAUUUAGGGCUGCACCCACAGCAAGUGGAAGUUCCUAGGUUAGGGCAGAAUCGGAGCUGCAGCCACCAGUCUACACCAUAGCCGCACCAAUGCAGGAUCCAAACCAUAUCUGUGACCUACACCACAGCUCAUGGCAAUGCCAGAUCCUUAACUCACUGAGCAAGGCCAGGGAUUGAACCCAAGUCCUCAUGGAUACUAGUCAUAUUUGUUACUGCUGAGUCACAACAGGAACUCCUGCAAUUAGAUAUUGUGAGUAUGUUCCAUAGCCUGCCCAUUCCGCCCCCUUCACCCCAUAUCAAGUCAUCCAUUCCUUGUUAGAAUAAACGAAAUCAUCAUCAUUUGGUUGUUAUUAUUUUCUUUUGAAAUAAUUUUAACUACAAGUUGCAAAGAGAAUACAGAAAAUUUCUGUGUAUCCUUUGCCCAGCUUCCUGUGAUGACAUCGUCUUAAAGAAGCAUCAUCACUGGUUAUCAUUUUACAACAUGAUCAACCUUCUCCACAUCCCUUAGCUCCAACCCCUCCCCUCACCUCCACCCAGUAGCACCUGGUGUUAGAAUCUGACAGAGCUUAACAUCAGCAGCACAUUUGAAAUGAAAAGAGUGGAAAUCUGAGAGGAAAGCUUGUUUCCUGGUUCUUAAUCUGGAGCUUGUGUGUCUUUAUAUGAUCUGGCUUUACAAGGAGGUUAAAAAAAAAAAACCUCCUAAUGAAAACCGAUGGUUUAUUUAUUUAAAACAGAUGCAGUGAAUAACAUGAAUUUCAUGCAUUUUCUUAUGACUCUUCCUUGCAGUGGCAAUGGAUGGAUGAAUCAAUUUAUCUCUCUGCCUACACAUCUCUCUCCACCAUGCAAGGAAAAUAAGACAAGUAGGGGAAGGCAGUGAGGUGUGAGAGAAAACAAGACUUUCUGAGACUUGGAAAACUGAAGAUUUAGCCUUAGUUCUCCCGAUGGGGGUGAACUUGGUGAGUCAUUCUCAGAGCCUUCAUAUCCCCAUUUGUAAAAGUAGGGAGGGAGGAGGUCUGGGUGGAGGUACAGUCAGAGGCUCAAAUUGUAUGUCUAUGGGAGUGAGUGGGCAUGGAAGGUUGGGUUCCCUAAGAAUCUGACUUGGAGAAGGGGGCGAGCAUGUAGGAUGCCAGUGAAGGAGAAGCUGUGGGAGC